GGGCUUGUAGCUCAGUUGGGAGAGCGCCGCGUUCGCAACGCGGAGGUC
rnacentral:tRNA from 1 species